UACGAAGGGGGCUAGCGUUGCUCGGAAUCACUGGGCGUAAAGCGCACGUAGGCGGGUCGUUAAGUCGGGGGUGAAAGCCUGGAGCUCAACUCCAGAACUGCCUUUGAGACUGCAUCGCUAGAAUCAUGGAGAGGUAAGUGGAAUUCCGAGUGUAGAGGUGAAAUUCGUAGAUAUUCGGAAGAACACCAGUGGCGAAGGCGACUUACUGGACAUGUAUUGACGCUGAGGUGCGAAAGCGUGGGGAGCAAACAGG
rnacentral:rRNA from 1 species